AUGCCGACGCAGCAGUGGGGAAUCUUCCGCACUGGGCGAAAGCCUGACGGAGCAAUGCCGCGUGAGUGAAGAAGGCCUUCGGGUUGUAAAACUCUGUCCUUCUCGAAGAGAGGUGGGUAUGUGAAUAAUGUACUCAUAGGACGGUAGAUAAGGAGGAAGCCCCGGCUAACUACGUGCCAGCAGCCGCGGUAAUACGUAGGGGGCGAGCGUUGUCCGGAAUCACUGGGCGUAAAGGGCGCGUAGGCGGUUUAAUAAGUCAGUGGUGAAAACUGAGGGCUCAACCCUCAGCCUGCCACUGAUACUGU
rnacentral:rRNA from 1 species